CACCAACAACAACAUUGAUAAGGUCGAGUCUAGCAUCAGCAAGUACAAUGAGGCAUAUUGUCAAUUGGACAAGCUUGAUUUCACGACUGCUGCUAAGAUACUUUUCACUGGUCCGCCAAAGGAAAAGAAGUUUGGGUAAUGGGUCUGAUCCUCCACAUGCCCCACCACAACCUCCCACCAUGUAAGAAAUUAUCAAUAAAACCAAAUCAAUUUUAGGAAUUUGGUACAUAAUUGUGGAGGAACGUUCGAAAACCAUAUUAACAUAAUACGGAAAUAUCUUACUAUAUAUUCCCGUAUAAAAAUUAUUAUUUUUUUAAUGUUAUAAUUAAUAUUUAUUUA